UACGUAGGUGGCGAGCGUUGUCCGGAUUUACUGGGCGUAAAGGGAGCGUAGGCGGACUUUUAAGUGAGAUGUGAAAUACUCGGGCUCAACUUGAGUGCUGCAUUUCAAACUGGAAGUCUAGAGUGCAGGAGAGGAGAAUGGAAUUCCUAGUGUAGCGGUGAAAUGCGUAGAGAUUAGGAAGAACACCAGUGGCGAAGGCGAUUCUCUGGUCUGCAACUGACACUGGGGCGCGAAAGCGUGGGGAGCAAACAGG
rnacentral:rRNA from 1 species